AUUGAACGCUGGCGGCAGGCCUAACACAUGCAAGUCGAGCGGAGGAAGGGAGCUUGCUCCUGGAUUCAGCUGCGGACGGGUGAGUAAUGCCUAGGAAUCUGCCUGGUAGUGGGGGAUAACGUCCGGAAACGUGCGCUAAUACCGCAUACGUCCUGAGGGAGAAAGUGGGGGAUCUUCGUACCUCACGCUAUCAGAUGAUCCUAGGUCGGAUUAGCUAGUUGGUGGGGUAAAGGCCUACCAGGGCUACGAUCCGUAACUGGUCUGAGAGGAUGAUCAGUCACACUGGAACUGAGACACGGUCCAGACUCCUACGGGAGGCAGCAGUGGGGAAUAUUGGACAAUGGGCGAAAGCCUGAUCCAGCCAUGCCGCGUGUGUGAAGAAGGUCUUCGGAUUGUAAAGAACUUUAAGUUGGGAGGAAGGGCAGUAAGUUCAUACCUUGCUGUUCUGACGUUACCAACAGAAUAAGCACCGGCUAACUUCGUG
rnacentral:rRNA from 1 species